rnacentral:rRNA from 1 species
GGGUCAGUAGGUUGGUCGUGCCACCGGUACGUACUGGUCUCACUGAUUCCUCCUUCCUGAAGAACCGUAAUGCCAUUAAUUUGGUGUUGCGGGGAAGCAGGACUGUUACUUUGAAAAAAUUAGAGUGUUUAAAGCAAGCUAACGCUUGAAUACAUUAGCAUGGAAUAAUGAAAUAGGACGAUCGAUCCUAUUUUGUUGGUUUCUGGGAUUGACGUA